rnacentral:rRNA from 1 species
GAGUUUGAUUAUGGCUCAGAGUGAACGCUGGCGGCGUGCCUAAUACAUGCAAGUCGAACGGAGAUUAAAGUAAGCUUGCUUAUUUUAAUCUUAGUGGCGCACGGGUGAGUAAUGUAUAGCUAAUCUGCCCUACACUAGAGGACAACAGUUGGAAACGACUGCUAAUACUCUAUACUCCUUCUUUACAUAAGUUAAGUCGGGAAAGUUUUUCGGUGUAGGAUGAGGCUAUAUCGUAUCAGCUAGUUGGUGAGGUAAUGGCUCACCAAGGCUAUGACGCGUAACUGGUCUGAGAGGAUGAUCAGUCACACUGGAACUGAGACACGGUCCAGACUCCUACGGGAGGCAGCAGUAGGGAAUAUUGCUCAAUGGGGGAAACCCUGAAGCAGCAACGCCGCGUGGAGGAUGACACUUUUCGGAGCGUAAACUCCUUUUCUUGGGAAAGAAUUAUGACGUACCCAGGANG